rnacentral:tRNA from 1 species
GCGCCUGUAGCUCAGUGGAUAGAGCGUCUGUUUCCUAAGCACAAGGCCGUAGGUUCGACCACUACCUGACGCG